GUCAAGGGAAUUUCUGCCGCCUCAGGAACUGCCCUCCAACAUUUGAAGCUACAGGCACUUGCCACGAUGGAGCCUUGGUCUGCUGUUCAAAGGUUCCAAGCGUCUAAGAGAUUUCCUCACAACACCAGAACCGUUCACACUGCCUGACCGAAGCCUAUUCAAUGAAUUCCUUUUUCUAGACCUUCCUGCAAGAUCAUUAGAACAAAAGUUUCCUACAAGCAUAUGGGGAGGGGGGCAGAGGGUGGGACAACCAAUCCAAGUCAUCUCCAUCUCUCCAAGACCCACUUGUCUUGCUUUUAAUUAAUACAGUGGCCAUGCCAGCACUUUGCAUGAGUAUUCCAGCCUACCUCGCCGGGAUGUUUCCAAUACUAAUCAGUUCAUGUUUUUGCAGCUGUUUGAGAGGUGAAGGAUAAAACAUAUUCAAAUUAUUAUUGUAGUCAUGAAAAAAUAAAGGGUAUUUUAACCUUA